GGGUGUAUCCCGUGAGCUCAAAGUUGAGAGUGUACAUAAAGCGUGAUAUUUUUGGAACUCGCCAGUCAAAGGCUUGAGCUGGGUCGUCAAGUUCACAAGAGAAGGACAGAUAGCUGCUUCUGAAAGGCCUACAGACACCAGUCAUGGCAAUCAGAUCUUUGGACAACAUGCAGGUUCUCCUCAUGGUCAUCUUCCUUCUGCAAGUGACGCAGUCAUUGCCUCCAAACAGGCACAAGAGGCACUCGGACAGCCUGUUCACCAGUGAGUUAAGUAAACUGAGGAGAACUGUAGUGGCU